AGAAUGCUUUGCUCAUCAUGGUUGGCUCCCAGCAGCUUAGAAGGAAUAGGAUCCAACACUUCCUGUAUGUUAAGGAUAUGCAUCUGGGCCCAUUAGAAUUCUCUCCUUGGGUUUGGAAGUGUGGAUUCUGUAUCUCUUUAAAAAACGUAAUAUUUGAUCUUGGGGACCCUGGGCAGCCGUUUUAUACUCAUGAACGGAGAGAGCGGCACCGCGCUAAGAAGGAGGGCGAGUGAGUGGCUUUUUAAUGGAAAGACGACUUCAAGCAUCUCUGUAUCCAGACGCGGCUGCAAAAAGCAGGGCAAAGCAACAGACAAAAGGACAGAGGUGUAUACAAACGGUUGGGAAACUGGACCGUUCCUUUGUUCCUUUCUGGGAAGUUUACAGCAAGCAGAGCCCUGAGCGGAGACUAACCAAUGAUGAGCAUGAUAUGGCCACGGCCGGAAACGCCAGGAGCGCAUCUAUGUACAAAAUAACUUGCUGCUUGUCAGAGCCAAGUUUUGGGGGGAGCCAGCCCUGUCUGCUUCCCAUGAAACACAUUUCUGCUCUGCCUUGUGCCAACAUUCUGUCUCCGUUGACAUGGAUUGGGGGACUCUUCAUUGUGGCUGAAGCAUAGCUUUUUGUGGGGAGGGGUCUGAGAUGAAUGUAACUCCGUUCUUGACUCCAUGUUGGAUGCCAGGACGCACGAGGAGAAUACCUCUUGGGCACACACGUGUAACAGGAGAUGAUUUUUAUGCCCAUUGGUGUUUCAGUUGACUGUAUGUCUGUGUGAAGGUGUCAGAUGCCCUGAAACUGGAGUUGCAGGCAGUUGUGAGCCACCAUGUGGGUACUGGGUAUUGAACCAGGGUCCUCUGGAAGAGCAGCCAGUGCCUUUAACCUCUGAGCCAUCUCUCCAGCCCCUGUCUUGUGGUGUUUUGUGCCUGCCUGUGAGGCAAGUGCCCUGCAAGUCAACUGUAUCCUUACUCCUACCUUGAACAUUGUCCAUGUGGCAAUUUUACUUAGGAAGAACAAGGAACCAGGGAAAAGAGCGAAGUGUCAAAUGUGUCACGCCCAGCAGCAGAGCUUAGAAAAGGAGGAGGGGGGAGGAGGUGGAUGAAGAGGAGGAGGAGGAGGAGGGAGAGGAGGGAGAGAAUGAGAAGAGGAGGAGAAAGAGGAAGAGGAGGAGGAGGAAUGCCAAGUGAAUGGCUUGGAUUGCCAAGACUUCAUGGAAAAUCCUAUUGCAGUGAGGCCUGGGUGAUUGAAUGUGUGUGUGUGUGUGUGUGUGUGUGUGUGUGUGUGUGUGUGUGCGUGCGUGUGUGCUCUGUGGUGCUGGUGGUGUUGGAGCUCCAUGCACACUCAAGAGCUAUGAGCCGCAGCUUCAUUCUGACUGGUACCGGACAGGUUUUGCAGACCAGGCAAAUAGUAGUUCAUCCUUCUUCUACCUGGUAGAGAGUGGUCACUGGAGAGACGAAAGUACAACAGGAGGCUUUCAAGAUCUAUGUCUGAAGUUUUGCUGAGUCUCUAAAAUCACCCCGUGCCUUGGAGAGAGGACUCAGCUUGGAAUGUGUAGCUGGCCUCAGAGCCUCAGUGGAGAUCACUUUGGGUGAGAUCCUGGCUCACUCUCCCGCUCUCUUCUUGUAACUAUCAGGGGUGGACCAAUCCCCAGCUAAAUGCUUUCCAUAGGAUUCAAACAGGAUGAGCACUGCCCUGGUGACAAGAAGAAUGCUAACACCGAUGGCGGCAGGAGGUCAUCAAUCUUCCCACAAGUUGACCACAUUUUUGGACACAAGCAAGUCUCUACAGAUACAAGAAUAUUGAGGAGGAAGAAUGAGGACAGCAUAAAAGAAUAUUUUGAGAGAGGGAAGAGAGCAUCUUCAGAGACGUUUACAAAUUUAUAAAGCCCGUUUUGUUAUUUAUAUUAAUCCUUUACUAUGACGAGUGACCAGAUCAAUGCUAGAUAAGUGUGCAGAACAAGCUGCAGUAUAUAUAAGGUUGGGUACUAGACACAGUUUCAGACGCUUGCUGUGGCUCCUGGAGCCACCAUGGAGAAAGGGCGCUGUAAGACAUUGUUGGAUUACCUAAGUGGUAGUUUAGGUGUGGUGUUCUUCAGGGGGUGUUUACAAUGUCAAAACAAUUCCAUGUCACUCUGUGCUGCCAUGACACUUCUAAAACAGGCUGCAGGCCAACGUUGGAACCGAUAUUUGCAUCAGUGAAGAGUGCAGUCGUUAAUUCAGAAAGUGAUCAAAAGAAGGCACUGUAAGUAGAGUUUGUCAUGGGCCCUUUCCUCCCCAGACUUUCUGCCUCUCGCUGUAUGUUUUCCCAAAGCUUGGCUCAGCAUGGGAGCUUAAGAUGCAAAAUGUUGGGUGAGAAGCUGCUUCCUGGGUUCUUGCAAGUUUAUUGGAAAGAGGGGGUUCUCAUAAAUCACUCAGGAAAGGAGUGGGGGGGGGCCUGCGGGAGUGCUCCGCUGCCAAGUGAAUUCCGACUGAUGGCUUUGGAGAACAUGGACCUCUUCCAAGGUCUUAUCCGAAAUAAAAUUAAGAUUCAUACUUUCUCAGACUGAGCCCCCUCUACCAAGUUUCCACCGCAGCCGAGAGCCUUCUUAACACGCCGAAAGGACACUUCCACGAGCAGUGUGAGAGGUAGGGCAGCCAAGAAGUUGGAGUGAAGCACACAUUCCAAAUGGAAAAAAAAAAAAAAAAAGAUUUGUAGCAACGGAGUGUCCCUAAUGACAAACAGGCUUGGGUUAUGUGGCUAGCACUGGCUUGAACAUUCCUAAGGAUGACAGCGUGUCAGAGGCGAGGAAUUAUGGGGCAAGGCUUGAUCAGUUGCAGUUAGCAGUUCCGUGAAGAGACUAUCUCGAGUUAGGGCUUCAGGGCCUUUGACCCUUACAGG
rnacentral:lncRNA from 1 species